CGAGCCCGAGCCCCUGCCGGAGGCAGAUUCGAAGAAGCUCCCCUCCCCUGCCCGGGGGGCAUCGGAGGCCGACAAGGAGACCCCACGCCUGCUGGUCCCCGACAUCCAGGAGAUCCGGGUCAGCCCGAUCGUCUCCAAGAAGGGGUACCUGCACUUCCUGGAGCCGCACACGGCCGGCUGGGCCAAGCGCUUCGUGGUGGUGCGGCGGCCCUACGCCUACAUGUACAACAGCGACAAGGACGCCGUGGAGAGGUUUGUGCUCAACCUGUCCACGGCCCAGGUCGAGUACAGCGAGGACCAGCAGGCCAUGCUCAAGACCCCCAACACGUUUGCCGUGUGCACGGAGCACCGUGGGAUCCUGCUGCAGGCCAACAGCGACAAGGACAUGCACGACUGGCUGUACGCCUUCAACCCCCUCCUGGCCGGGACCAUACGGUGAGCGCCUCCCGCGGAGGGUCGGGGCCGUUCCUGACCACCCGCGUGCCCGUCCUCAGGCAGCUGCGCCCCACGACCUGUGUGGAUCCCU
rnacentral:lncRNA from 1 species